rnacentral:snRNA from 1 species
GUGCUCGCUUCGGCAGCACAUACACGAAAAAUUGGAACGAUACAGAGAAGAUUAGCAUGGCCCAUGCACAAGGGUGACACGCAAAUUCGUGAAGUGUUUUU